GGGGUGGCAGAGUGGUUGAAUGCGGCGGUCUUGAAAACCGCCAGCGGCAGUCCUGAACCACCCUGACUCGUCCCG
rnacentral:tRNA from 1 species